CCUACGGGAGGCUGCAGUGGGGAAUAUUGGGCAAUGGAGGCAACUCUGACCCAGCAACGCCGCGUGAAUGAUGAAGGCCUUCGGAUUGUAAAGCUCUGUGAUGGGGGAUGAAAACAAUGACGGUACCCCCAUAGAAAGCCACGGCUAAAUACGUGCAAGCCGCCGCGGUAAUACGUAGGUGGCAAGCGUUAUCCGGAAUGACUGGGUGUAAAGGGUGCGUAGGUGGUUUAGUAAGUUGGCGGUGUAAUUCCGGGGCUCAACCUCGGCGUUACCGCCGAAACUAUUAGACUAGAGUGCAGGGGGGGUAAGUGGAAUUGCUGGUGUAGCGGUGGAAUGCGUAGAUAUUAGGAAGAACAUCAGGGGCGAAGGCGACUUACUGGACUGUAACUGACACUGAGGCACGAAAGCGUGGGGAGCAAACAGGAUUAGAUACCCUUGUAGUC
rnacentral:rRNA from 1 species